AGUAUAUGCUUUCUGGUGGACACUAAUAUGGAACACAAAGAUCUUCUCACAUUGCAGCUGCUCCCAUAUAUCCAUUGAUAUAUGCCUCUAACUCCAGACCUUUUUGUCCUUAAUCUUCUAAUCCGGUUAUCUCUUUUCCUUUAGUGCAAUUUUUCCUUAUUUGUUUGUUUUGUUUUUUUUUUUAAGUAAAUAGCUAGGCUUCUAAGCCCUACCACAGAGAGUCAACAGACAAACUGCCCAGGGAAAAGUUAUGACCUCAGGCAAAGUGAAUUUCUACAGCUAAGGCAGAUCCUGAAGAAGCUCACAAAUAAAGGCUGCAUACUCACACAUUCCCUGAAGCUUGACAGUGCCAGCCACCAUACUGUGAGGGAGCUGAAGUAAGCCCACAUGAGGAAGAAUUGAGGUCCCAAGCCAACAGCUGCAGCUAAGAUCCAAGCUCUCAACCAGUACCAGUUCAUCCGUUAUAGAGAAAAUGUCAUGCCUGUGGGAUCUAGAAGACAUACUCCUUUGUUUUUAGUUCUGCUAGUACCCUAUGUGCCUUUACCAAAACCUUACUGAAUGGAUUUCAGAAAGUCUUUAAUUGUCAUCUCCUUCCCCUUUGUAUUCUACAAAGUUCCCAACAAUAUCAAUGAAUAAGAAGGAAGUCUUAAGGCUCCAGGAAUCCCCUCAGGGAGACUAGCUUUCAGAAUUUUAGGCACACUAAGAUAUGGAAGCUAAAAGAGGACUAAGAGGAUUCUGGGGAUAUUACAAGAUAUUGCAGACUAUCUUGUUUUCCUGGAAAAGGAUUUUACCUCAGUCGACUGAAUUACUUUUUUCACUGUGUCUUGCCACUCUUCGUGCAUGCAUCAAAGACCCUAAUAUGACUUCUGGUGGCCUGGGACUCCUUGGGAAAACAGAAAAGGGGCCACAAAUCCCAUUUUGGGAACAAUCUGUUUUACUCAUGGAACCCCUGGAAUUAGAGGUGUGUAAGUACCUCUCAAAA
rnacentral:lncRNA from 1 species